rnacentral:rRNA from 1 species
UAGGGAAUCUUCGGCAAUGGGGGGAACCCUGACCGAGCAACGCCGCGUGAGUGAAGAAGGUUUUCGGAUCGUAAAGCUCUGUUGUUAAGGAAGAACGAGUGUGAGAAUGGAAAGUUCAUACUGUGACGGUACUUAACCAGAAAGGGACGGCUAACUACGUGCCAGCAGCCGCGGUAAUACGUAGGUCCCGAGCGUUGUCCGGAUUUAUUGGGCGUAAAGCGAGCGCAGGCGGUCAAUUAAGUCUGCUGUGAAAGCCCCCGGCUCAACCGGGGAGGGUCAUUGGAAACUGGUUGACUUGAGUGCAGAAGAGGAGAGUGGAAUUCCAUGUGUAGCGGUGAAAUGCGUAGAUAUAUGGAGGAACACCAGUGGCGAAGGCGACUCUCUGGUCUGUAACUGACGCUGAGGCUCGAAAGCGUGGGUAGCAAACAGG